UUUUAAAUAAACCUGACAAUUUUAAGAGAGUAUUUAAGUGGAAUACCAGCUAGCUUAAGAAGGUCAGUGAUGGACGAUGGGAAUUUAAUUAAGCUGCCUUCUCCGUGGAAACAAGAGCACUGAUCAAGAAUAAACUUUGUUCAAUA